GACGAACGCUGGCGGCGUGCUUAACACAUGCAAGUCGAACGGAAAGGCCCUGCUUUUGGGGGGUGCUCGAGUGGCGAACGGGUGAGUAACAAGUGAGUAACCUGCCCUUGACUGUGGGAUAACUUCAGGAAACUGGGGCUAAUACCGGAUAGGAGCUCCUGCUGCAUGGUGGGGGGUGGAAAGUUUCGGCGGUUGGGGAGGGACUCGCGGCUUAUCAGCUUGUUGGUGGGGUAGUGGCUUACCAAGGCUUUGACGGGUAGCCGGCCUGAGAGGGUGACCGGCCACAUUGGGACUGAGAUACGGCCCAGACUCCUACGGGAGGCAGCAGUGGGGAAUAUUGCACAAUGGGCGGAAGCCUGAUGCAGCAACGCCGCGUGCGGGAUGACGGCCUUCGGGUUGUAAACCGCUUUCGCCUGUGACGAAGCGUGAGUGGCGGUAAUGGGUAAAGAAGCACCGGCUAACUACGUG
rnacentral:rRNA from 1 species